AACCAUUAACUUUCUUAAGAUAAAAUUUAAUGUGUUUUAGAGAUUAAUAGGCAUUACGACAGAUUACGUUUCACGGCAGACGUACUUAAGUAAAUAAAUUUGGUAACACUCAUUAAUCUUCAGAAUUUAUUGGCUGGAUCGUAGAUGUUUAAAAAAAAAAAAAGAAAUGUCGUGGACCGCGCGAUGGCGGUGAACGUAUUUAUAAUCCUCUUUCAAUUAUAAACGCAGGUGAUCAUUUCUAUCAUAAGACUCACUGAUGUUCAAUAGCGAUGUUGUAUUAUUUUAAUCGAUCGAAACAGUAUCAGAUGUUGUUCAAUUUAACCUCUUCAGGGAAAUUGUUACAUGUAAUGAACAAAUCGCAAUGAAGAAUAAAUUGAAUUCAUGUUUUUCGUACUUUAAAAUUCGACGCUGAAGAGGUUAACCUAUAAAAGUUAAAAUUUUACUUUUAAAUUAAAUAAAAACGAGCGCUCGUCAGCAAAAUUGCUGUCGUUUUGCGUUUCUUAUUAGUCAUUUCAUUUGAAAGCCGAUGGGAAGAGAAAAACUUCAUAUUCAACCGAACGAGGAAGAGGACGUACCGUCGUAAAGUAAAAAAAAGAUUCCGCCCAAGUAAUGAGAAUAUCUCUGGAUAGGAACGUUUCUCUGAGUACCGUUUUACUGAGAGGGGGAACUCGAAUAAUCCUGAUAUUGGCGUCGGAACAAGCGGACGCGCACAUUGCGAAAGUUGGCUCAUCACAUAAACAAGGCAAGUUAUUCGAACGCCGGAUUUGUUGGUACUUGACGUGAGCUAUCCCGGAACGCGCACCGCAUCAACCCCGGUAUCGAACUGCCGAUGGAGUGUCGUCUGACAGAGAGGUUUUUACAGCACUCGAGGGAAAUACGCCGAUUCCCGCCGUAAAGCCGCGAUCGCCUUGCGAAAACAUGAAACAACAAUCUGCUGGUACAUUUUGCGAGUUGCAAAGGGAAGGACAGCGAAUUUAUUUUGCUGAAUUUUCAAGUGUAAAGCGGAAAAUACGUUUCAACUUUAUGUUCUAGCAUGUCCAAUGAAAUGAGUUUGUAUUCGGUAUAUAUAUUACUGAUUCUAA